rnacentral:lncRNA from 1 species
UCUCCCUCUCUUUCUCGCUGAGCUCCUUGAUUCUUUUCUACUGUUGCCUAGUCUCCUCUCUGACUUGACCGUCGGAGGAUCUCCGUCGGAGUCACCUCUGGUCAGUGUGGACUUCCCUUGCAGGUGCUCGUUUUCGGCGACCAGGCGAUGAGGGGAUUGGCCGCAACAGAUCGUAAUACAAGCUGUCAAAUUUUUUUCAAAAUUUUAAAGAAAAACACAUUUU